UGCCCCUUGGCUGAGUUGGUUACAGCGUCCGACUGUUACGUAAUCUGCUUAUGUCAUUUAUCGGAAGGUCGUGAGUUCGAGCCUCACAGGGGCAG
rnacentral:tRNA from 1 species